UUACUAUCAAAUCACAUCCAACAACAAAUUAAAAAUUUUAUCCAACCGAGACACAUCCUAGACUAUCUUCAGAACAAACAAAGGACCAACAACAACCGAAAAUAACAAUAACCAAACCAAAACUAUUAGCACAACUACAGAACAAACGAAACCAAAACGGGAACAGACACAAAACAAAAAAACAACUACUCAAUAAAAUCCAAAAACAAAAGGCAGGGGAUAAUAUAAUUAACUUAUCAAAUAUAAAUGUCUCGGAUGCUACUAAAAGCAUACUAAACAAGGGACUUAAAUUUGUUCCCAAACCUAAACCCAUUGGUUACCAAUCUGUCUAUACAUUAUACCUACAAUACCGAAGAAACAUGUACCUGCAAUACCAUUACAGACAUUCGAAUAACAACUAUAUAAAACAUCCAUUCAAAGCGAAAAGUGACUUCACACCACCACUACCGGACAAUGCUAACCUUUUGGAAUACAUGUCUCGUGUUUUACUCGAACUCAAAACCUCUCACGAGCUAAACAAAGACAGUUACACCACUAGGCUAAAUAACAACGUUUCUAAUGCAGAAACACAGGCUGUAAUGAACCU